GACGAACGCUGGCGGCGUGCUUAACACAUGCAAGUCGAACGGAAAGGCCCUGCUUUUGUGGGGUGCUCGAGUGGCGAACGGGUGAGUAACACGUGAGUAACCUGCCCUUGACUUUGGGAUAACUUCAGGAAACUGGGGCUAAUACCGGAUAGGAGCUCCUGCUGCAUGGUGGGGGUUGGAAAGUUUCGGCGGUUGGGGAUGGACUCGCGGCUUAUCAGCUUGUUGGUGGGGUAGUGGCUUACCAAGGCUUUGACGGGUAACCGGCCUGAGAGGGUGACCGGCCACAUUGGGACUGAGGUACGGCCCAGACUCCUACGGGAGGCAGCAGUGGGGAAUAUUGCACAAUGGGCGGAAGCCUGAUGCAGCAACGCCGCGUGCGGGAUGACGGCCUUCGGGCUGUAAACCGCUUUCGCCUGUGACGAAGCGUGAGUGACGGUAAUGGGUAAAGAAGCACCGGCUAACUACGUG
rnacentral:rRNA from 1 species